rnacentral:rRNA from 1 species
AGGACGAACGCUGGCGGUGUGCUUAACACAUGCAAGUGGAGCGACGAAUCAGAGCUUGCUCUGGGGCAGAGCCGCGAACGGGUGAGUAACACGUGGGUAACCUACCCGAUGACCGGGACAACCCGAGGAAACUCGGGCUAAUACCGGAUAUGUCCGACAUUCACGAGGAUGUCGAGCAAAGGAAGCUUCGGCCUCCGCUUCGGGAGGGCCCGCGGCCCAUUAGCUAGUUGGUGGGGUAAUGGCCUACCAAGGCUGCGAUGGGUAGCUGGUCUGAGAGGACGAUCAGCCACACUGGGACUGAGACACGGCCCAGACUCCUACGGGAGGCAGCAGUGGGAAUAUUGGACAAUGGGCGCAAGCCUGAUCCAGCCAUGCCGCGUGAGUGAUGAAGGCCCUAGGUUGUAAAGCUCGUUUCAGUGGGAAGAUAAUGACGGUACCACAGAAGAACGCCCCGGAUAACGUUCGUGCCAGCCAGCCGC